rnacentral:lncRNA from 1 species
GUUUCUUUAACAUGUAUUUUUCUAGAAGUUUCUGAUUGAAUGACUGCCUGGAACAGAAGUAUACAAGUUGAAGUGAGAUACCAUCAGCAGUUAACAUUUACACAACACCCUACUCGAAUUCAUCUUUGAGAAGAAAAACAUCAGAUUUUCAGUGCUGAAACCUCUUUUACUAUCAUCUCUUGCUGCCAUGUACUGUGAAAAUUUGUAACAGCUCUUUCCUUCGACUUUCUAUGCUGCAAAGAAACGGAAAAAGUCUUGAUUCAGGGAGAAAACAACGGAUUUUACUAAAGGCUACAUUUCUGUACAGAUCUCAAGAUCUGUCAGAAUGGAGGUUCUCACUCUGACUUCUAAGCCAGGUUCAGUUUUCACCUGAACCAUCUCCCACACCACCCAACAGACAUGGGAGUAUGAGGCACACAGUUCCUGGACCU